CGGGAUGUAGUAUAACGGUAGUAUUUACCCAUGGGGUGGGUAAGGCCCGGGUUCAAUUCCCGGCAUCCCGACCA
rnacentral:tRNA from 3 species